rnacentral:rRNA from 1 species
UACGUAGGUGGCAAGCGUUGUCCGGAUUUACUGGGCGUAAAGAGCGCGCAGGCGGUCGUGCAAGUCGCGUGUGAAAGCCCCCGGCUCAACUGGGGAGGGUCACGCGAUACUGCUCGACUCGAAGGCAGGAGAGGGAAGUGGAAUUCCCGGUGUAGAGGUGAAAUGCGCAGAUAUCGGGAGGAACACCUAUGGCGAAGGCAGCUCGCUGGGACGUUACUGACGCUGAGACGCGAAAGCGUGGGGAGCAAACAGG